GUUGACCUCGGAUCAGGUAGGAAUACCCGCUGAACUUAAGCAUAUCAAAAGCCCCGAAAGGAAA
rnacentral:rRNA from 1 species